rnacentral:lncRNA from 1 species
AGUAAUAAGCUUCCUUUUCGACAGUAUCACUCUUAUAAUUAAUGGUGAAUACAAAAUAUGACAAAUGUUGUAUAAAGGGUAGUGAAACCCUAAAGAUAUGGAAGCGUUAUGCAUACAUUUAUCUUUUUGACAUGUAGAUAAACGUAUUGAAAGAUGACGGUGCUGAGUAGAGAAAGAUGUCUAAAUAGUAAAUAGCAAAGCAACCAUCUAUGAAAUAGAAAAACCAUUCUGUUAUUCUGAAUAGCAAAUCUGUAGACAAUACAUCAAAUUUUAAUGCAACCUAGUAGUAACGUUAUGGCAUGUUCAACCAUACCACAAAAAUAUUACAAACAUAACAAUUCACGGCAGCUAGCUAGCUAUUCACAGUGAAGUCGCUGCUGCCUGCUGCAUCUUUAUUCCUCCCUCGUAAACACAAUAAUGCCCACUAGAAUUUUUAUACUGUCUCGUAAUCCUUUCAUGGAAUUUUAACGAUACUCAAGGAGUAAUAGGAUCAUAAUAAAGUUAAUCUUUUUUUCAUUCAUGGGUAGUUGUCAUCAUCACCUCCUCCUCCUCCUCCUCCGUACCCAGACCCUUCACCUGAUCCACUACCAUACCCGGAUCCUCCAUUGCUUCCACUCCCGCCUCCACCUCCUCCUCCGCUCCCUCCACCGCCUCCACCUCCUCUUCCCUUCUCGCCACUCCCUCAACUCUGNNNNNNNNNNNNNNNNNNNNNNNNNNNNNNNNNNCACCACCACCUCCACCGCCGCUACCACCACCUCCGCCUGCAUUCCCAGACCCUGAACCAUACCCAGACCCGCUACCGGAUCCAUACCCAGAACCCGACCCAACUCCAACAAUAGAACCCCCACCACCUCCACCUCCACCACGUCCACCUCCGCCGCCACCACCGCCACCUUUAUUACCAAGCGUCCUGGCAGCAAAGGCAAUUUGGACAAGGAACAAAACAAGGAAUGCAGCACCAAUGAGAUGCUUCCUCAUCAUGGAAGAAGAAGUAGCCAUAUUGCCCUCACAACUGUGGAUUUAACUAUAUGAAUGUGCAAUUAAUUGUGUGCUAUAAUUAUACGUGUGUUGUGGGUUGUAAUUGAGAAUGAAUGUGGGAUAUGAAACAAAGCAUACUCUCCCCCUGGCUAUUUAUAGGCAUUGCUAUAGCGGGAGGGAGAAUCAAACAAUAAGAAUAAUAGGGUUCUUUCUAGUUCAUUCGAUGGUGAAAUAUGAACAGAACAAAGUGGGGGAAUACACUUAGUGGGUGUUGGUGGCGUGGUGGUGG